GCUUUAGUAGCUCAGUGCCAGAGCACCGGUCUUGUAAACCGGCCGUCGGAGGUUAAAGCCCUCCCUAAUGCU
rnacentral:tRNA from 1 species